UCUCCCCUCAGCCUUCUCUUCUCCAGACUUAACAGCCCCAGUUCCCUCAGUCUCUCCUCACAGGGCAGUGACUGAAGCUGCAAUGUACUGAAUACUAAAAAGCAUAGUUAUCUUACAUUUUAAACCCAUAUUACUAAGGAAAGGUGUGCAAAUUGCUUUAAUUCUUUGAAGCUCAAAAUUUAAACCACUCCUGAAUUUCCCUUCUGAUCACUGUAUACUGUAAAAUCUCUGAGGGCUCAUAGGCAGUAAUACAUUUUAACUUAAUUUUGAACUCAGUUCUUGCAGUUCUGUGAACAAACUGGAGAAUAAAUACAUUAUUCCUGGUAUCAUCUAAUAAAUGUGUUCUGGUGCUUUGAAGAAACAGUAACCUUCUGAAGCCUACUGGACUUUGAACAUAUUCUUUUAAUGGGAGUGACUCUGAUCUUCAGGUUUUAUUCAGCAGAUCCCUAAUGUGAACUGCACCUUUCUCCCUGCUAGAUAAGAGCUGCCCUCUCUUGCCAGUUUUUGCUGGCAGGAAUUACUGUUUGUUCACAGCUCCACAAUUAUUCUGAUGCCUAAAUAAUUAUAAAACUCUGACCCUACAUGUGAAUGGUUAAUGGCAGAGAAAUCACCAAGUAGGAGGUUCCUACCUUAACUGAACAGAGGUAUAUGCCAAAGCAGAGAAAUAACAGUCUGUAAUACCAAGGAUGCUGAUUAAGCUGUAAGAUAUUCUACCCAGAGUUUGUCUUUCUUUCACUGUAGAUGUGUACAGAUAAGAGGUACGUAUGCAGAGGCUUCUAGGUGUAGAGCCAUCCUGACUGGAAGAGUAAGAACAAUACUUCAUCAUUUGCACUAACAGAGCUUCUAUACCUGUAUUAGAAAGCAAGAACCUCGAGGUUUCUUCUUCACCUGUAGACAUUUCUAAUGAAAUCAGCUAUGAUCUUAGAGUCAGGAUGUGUACUGCAUAAAACGUAAAUCAUAUUCCUAGAUCUGAUUAAGGUAAAUAAUACUUCAAAUAAUAAUUUUUGGUUGUAAUCAUUUCUAUUUCAUAUGUUAUUUUCAAAUACUAAAGUCUGAAGUCCUUUUAAAGUUAAUUACUCAACCUUAAUCUCUCUAACCAACAGCAUUAUCCUACAAUGAUUAAUUUGAAAAUCUUAUCCUAUAAUUUUGAUGUGAGGAAAAAUCUGUAAUGGAUAGAUCACUUAAAAUUGUAACGAUCAGUUAAUUCCAAGAGAGGCACAGAAUUUUGCCAAAGACUUUGUCAGUUUUCAUAGUAGUUCCUUUAUUAAGAUUUUUAAGUAUCAAAACCUUUGGAUCUUUAGAUAUCAUUAAAAAGAAAAGCUCAUCAAAAAUAAGAAUUUUACUAUUUUUUAUAGCUUCUUUCACUGCUUUUGGUAUUUCCCUGGGACUUCAGGGAAAUGGGAUCAGGGACAUGAUAAAAUUAAUGUAUUUUGCUUUAAAUGCAGUAGCUAGCAUGAUUUUUUUUCUUGUCAAACUGCACAGCAUUCUCUUUUUCCAGUACAUUCUUACACUGGAGCUGAAAACAGUGUAAGCCAUAAACUUCAAUAUUUUAUCAGAUACUGAUGCUGCUGAUGGUAGAUUGGCAUUUUUCUGUAGAAGACACACAAUUGCUUUGCCAAGUCUUCUUGGAUGUCACUGUGGAGUUACUGUGACUAAUACAUUUAAUCGGUGGUAAGUUUGAAGCUGAAUUCAUCAUAAACAGAACAGUGUGAUAUACUCUUCUCAUAAUGGGCAGUACUUUUUUGUAUGUGUCGUAGUUUUUACCUGUUUCAUGUGAGCUUAGUGGCAAUGUCUGGAUAUCAUUGUUUAGAACAGAUUUCAUACGCAUUUACUUUGAAAUUUCUUCUUUUAGUGUUACUAUGGUGGCAGCCAAACCUGUGUGGAGUAAAGAUUCCUUUGCAAAUGUCCCAGGAAUUCAGAAAAACCAUGCUUAGGGUUUUGCUGUGUACUUAAUCCAUGAGAUUGAAUUCAUCUUUUUCCUUUUAAGCAGCUGUUUUCCUCGUUUUAUUUUGGUAGUGUCAUAAUUUAAUUGCAUUUUUAGAUUAUUUUCUGUGUUUUACUUUAUUGAUUAUCAAUUAUAAUUAUGCUUUUUGUUUCACAACCAGCAAGCAAGACUUUUUAAUAUUCUUCAAAGGCUUUUUAAUUAAUGUAGGAAUUUCCUGUAAGUGGUAGAGAUACUGGCCAGAUUAUUUAAAUAUUCACAGGUCUUGAUAGUCCAGGAAGAUUAAUGACUCUGGGAGUCUUUUCUGAAUUCAAGACACUUCUUGGCCAUUUAGAACUUCUGUCCUGCAAAUUCUCACUUCUGUUUAAAUUCUUUUGUUUUUACUAGACGGGCUUAUUGAACUGUUUACUUAAUUGACUUCAAUACUUUAUAUAAUUUUCUGAAAGAUUAUCAGUGUUCAUAGAAACCCGUUUAGAAAUGUUUUCACAAUUGUGAAAAAUACUGUUAAAAGUUCUGUUUUUAUUUCCACUAAAUGUGUUUAAAGCAGACUGCAAAAAUACCAUCAGAAAAUGCACUAAAUGAAAUUGCGGUCUAAAAGCAACAGGCAAGAGAUAUUUUUCUAAUGUAUUUGGCUUACUGACAGAUCUUCUAGUUGAUUAAAAGAACUGAUGUACUAUAUUUAAAAUUACAUGUACUCUUUUGAUAUAAAUAAAUGCAGUUUACAGCAGAUUUCAAAUGUUUGCAUUUUAUUUAAAAAUCACUAAAUCACUCAUAGCUCUGAAAAGCAACAUGACUUAUAAGAAAAAAUGGAGUUGAAAAUCCUAUAUUUGCAUUUACAAAAUAGUACAAAUUUGUCUUACCAGUUGGAAAUAGUAACAUGGCACUGUUGGCAGGAUGAAUUUAUAACAUGACACACUUGAACAUAUUUUGUUUUGCUUCCUUGUCUUUCUCUAGACUCAUGAAGUUCUUGUCAGACAACACAAGGCAUCACAAAUAAAGCACAAUUUUCUAUUAAAGCCAGUGGACUGAUUCAAGAAAUUACUAUUGAAGAAAAUGUUUAAUUUCUGUAAGAGUGGCAUCUUGCCUUUGAGGCUGAGAAACAAAGUACAUCACUGUUGUUUCUACUUGGCCAAGAUUUGCUUUAUUUCAGAUACUGUGUUAGAAUUAAGCCCAAAUGUACUUCCUACAAUUACAGGCUUUUUGGGAAAGAUCUGCUCUCAGGAGAGUUCCAAUUAAAAAGAGCAACAAUAAUAACAACAGAAAGAAUGGCAAACUUUAGAAUCUGACCUUAAAAGUGGCACUUCAUGGACCACCACAUACACGCUGAGGCGAAUUCCUGAACAGAUAAGUUUUGCAUUUGUUUUUGCUAUCUCUUUUCAGAGAACAGUAUUAGUGUCAUUAUCAUGCUCCUGGCAGUGAAGUGUAGAGAACUUUACAACUGAUUCCAGCAGAAAUGUCAUCAGUGCACCAGAAGGACAAUUCUGAGUAUUGAAAAUAUGCAUGAUGUCCAUUUGAUGUGAUAGAUUUACACAAAAUAAACCAGCACUAUUAAAACUGUCAUAGAAAUGUUCAUGUAGGGAAAUGCCAACAUGUCAACCUCACAUCUGUGCCAAAUUAUUCUGGAAGCUAUGCUGAGGAAAAGGGAGAUGAUAUGAGACAACCAGUGUGGCUUCAUCAAGGGCAAGUUCUGCCUGACCUGUAUAACAGCCUUCCAUGACAGUGUAACUGCAAUAGUGGACAAGGGAAGAGCCACUCAUGUCAUCCAUCUGGUCUUCAGAAAGGCCUUGGUUCACCACAUUCUUUUCUCCAAAUUGGAAAUACAUGGAUUUGAUGGGUGAGGAACUUGUUGCAAGAUUUUAGCAGAGUAAUGGGCAAUAGCUCAGUGUCCUGGUGAAGAUUAGUGAUGAGUGCUGUCCCUCAGAGGUCAGUAAUGGAACUGGUGCUCUUUAUGAUCACAUUGCCAGUGGGACUGAAUGCACCCUCAGCAAGAUUGCAGAUGUCACCAAGCUGUGUAGUUCAGUAAACAUGACUGAAGGACAGGAUGCCAUUCAAAGAGACCUAGGCACAGUGGGCUCAAGAAGGCCUCAACAAAUCCAGGCACAAAGUCUUGUACCUGGGUUGUGGUAACCCCUGCUGUCAGUAUAAACUGAGGGAAAAGAAUUAAUCACAGGCUUGAUGAAAAAGUAUUGUAGUUUGAAACAAUUUUUUCAUGACAGGGGACCUUCUACCUCUCCUAGCUGUUCCCACCAUGGGGAAAGAGAGACCAGCAGAGAAAGUAACAGCAGUUCAGUUGAGAUAAAGAGACAACUAAUUUACUAAAAUGGUAAAUGAAUGUGAGAUAGUGCAGAGUAAUUAGGAGGAAUAAAUCAAACAAACAAACAAGGAAGAUUAAAGUCUCCAGAACUGCUCAACAUUCAUGGCUGGCAGGCCAAAGAGAGACAGUCCUUCUGGCUGAGAGCUGUUUUAUAUCCUGGAACUUGAAACCACACCAGAAGUACUGAAACUUUCUGAGAAUCACAGUCUCCAGGAACUGCAGGUCCCUGUCAGACCUCCCUGUUUUGACAGAUAUAUUCAUGAUGCUAUAAUAUAGAAUACCCAUGGAAAAUCGUAGCAAAAGUACUUGGUGAUAGCAAGUGGGAUGUGAGCCAGCAAUACGCCUUUGCAACCCAGAAAGUCAACCAUAUCCUGGGCUUUGAAGGAAGCAUAUCCAGCAGCUUAAAGGAGGUGAUCCUGCCCCUCUACUCUGCACUGGAGAGAACUCUUCCUGGAGUAUUGCAUCCAGAUGUGGAGUCCCCAGUAUGAGAGACAUGGAACUUCUGGACUGAGUCCAGAAGAAAGACAUAAAAAUGAUCCAGUGGAUGGAACAUCUUUUCUGUAAGGACAGGCUGAGAGAGCUGGAGUUUUUCAAUCUGUAGAAGAGAAGGCUCCAAGGAGGCUUGAUAGCAGCCUUUCAGUAUCUAAAGGUGGUCUAUUAGAAAGAAUGUAACAGACCCUCUGGCAGGAUCUGUUAUGGAAGUACAAGGGGAAAAAGUUUUAUUCUUUUACUGUAAGGAUGGUGAGGCACUGGAGCAGGUUGCCUAGAUAUGUAGUGGAUUCCUCAUCCUUGGUGACACUCAAGGUCAGGAUGGACAGGGCUCUGAGCAACCUGAUCUAGCUGUAGGUAUCCCUGUUCAUUGUGGGGGAGUUGAACUAGGUGACCCUCAGCACCCUACUCGACUACAGAUUCUAUGAUUCAACAGUUCUAUGAAAAUGAGUUAUAUAAUAUGGAUCCUUUUGACAGAACUGCUAGGAGUAUAUUCUAUAAGCUAUUUUAUAUAACCCAGACCUGUUUUUUACUCAAAUGAUAGGUAGAUACUCCUCUUAAUUUCCAGGAAUUAUUUCACAGAGCUUACUAGCUAACCUCAUCUUUUUCUUUACUUCAGGUUUCUGCAAGUGAAGCACAAAUCCAUUUAUUUAGCAGCUGUGUUAGUUCCUGCUCUGUUGCAGGAACUAACAUACACCCAAAGUAUGAUGCAUAUGCUUCACAAUGUGUGGCAUUUUGCUUCUGUUUAUACUUGCUAUAUAAUUAUUGAAUAUACUUGUACUUUAAUUAAACUCUAAGCAUAGUCUUCAAUGAAGUCUGCACUUCCUGUGUUGCAUUCACACUUUAAUUGUGCUACUGAACCUUGCUAAGAAAAAAAAUAGUUGUGCUACUGCAGCUGUAUGACACACUGCAGAAGGUUAGUAUUAGUGGUAGGGGUAGCUGUCAGAUUCAGUCUGUAAGACUGUUUAGUCUGCUAAGUGCAUGUCUGCAUAAGUUUUUGAUGUGGGAGAAAGUUGGAAAAGAAAUGAGAGAAACUGAGCGUGUGGUAACAGACCUGAAGGUCCCUGUGUGAAUGAAUGUUUUUCUUUUAUAUCAGUUAGCCAGAAGGGAAAUAUGACUUCUCGUAAAGAGUGCAUUGCUACAUCUGUUUUACGGUAUUUUUAGUUUUACAGUUCUCAUGUGGUUUGGAACAGCUGAUAGGGAAGUGUUAAACAAAAAACAAAAACAACAACAACAACAAAAAAGACAAUAAUGAGCAGAACUAUCUAUCUGUGUAAAAUAAAGUGGCUUGAUAAAUAAAGACUAUGACAAUCUCAGGUACAAUUAAAAGGGCUUAACUGUAAUGAAACCUCUGAAUUCUGAACUUGACACUUCAAAGAGCUGCAGGAAUAAGGAUGGAUGAAUGAUUUAGCUGGUAAAGGGAACGCAGAAUGAGUUCCACUGCCUUCCUUGUCAAAUGACUGUGAUAGCACCAUCUGGUGUAUGUUCGCAGAAUUUUCUAUGUUUGGAUUUACAGGAACACGCGUUUCCUUGUAGUGUAUAUUCAACAAAGAAUUACAAUUAACUUUAAUGAUUUGAACGUAUUUUGAGUAUUUUAAAUGAAAUUCAAAGAGGAAUGUCUGUUCUGACAGCACAAAAGCAAUUGUAUUUCAGGCAGAACUGACCUUUAGAGGGCACCCUUUGCAGCACAGCCGUCCUCUAGUAACAAGAGUGUCAGUUCUUUUUUGAAGUAGGCAGUGUAAGUCCAAGUGAUCUCCUCACAUUGCUAAUGUCCACGGAUACUAUAGAAGGAAAAAUCGAGCUUGCUGACUAAUUAUAAGACUGUCUUACCAUGUUUAUCUCUGUCCACAGUGUAAGGAAGCCAUUGUAGGCUGGUAGUAAGUUAUGGAAAUGCAAGCAAUAAAUGCCACAUUUGUCUCCCUAUAAGAAGCCAUCAGUGUGGUCAUCUUUGGAGAGAUUUUGUGGUGAAGCUAUGGAAAGCAAUUCUUUAAAAUACUGUUUGGACGUGGGUAGUGACUACUUCUUCUGCACUGGGGUUUGGGUCCAGUCCUACUCAGUGAAGGACAGGAGCUUUCAUUUCCAUGUCUUGUUUCAUGAUCUUUUUGCACUGUUACUCACUCUUCAAUUGUAAGUAAAGAUACUUGGACUCCAUGGCUCAAAAGGCAAUUUAGAAUACAGUAGUUUGCUCUCUGAUAUUCUCUGUGGGAAAAGGUCAUACCAGCAGUUGUAUUCCAGUUCAAGGAAGUGGUAGAUACCUGUUAAAAGGGCCACAUGACGCUAGUGUUCAAUUCACUUUAAAACACCUAGAUUGCAUAGUCUAAUUAAAUGAUUACUUUAAUCACUGUCAUGGUAUCGCAGAUCCAUAGAAUGUCCCGAGUAGGAAGAGGGCCCUUGUGGAUCAUCAAGCCCAAUUCCUAGCUCCUCACAGAACCAACCAAAAAUCAGACACUAUGUCUUAGAGCAUGGUCCAAGCAUUCCUUGAACUCUGUCAGCUUAAGGCUGUAAACACAGCUCUGCAGAGCCUGUUCCAUGCCCUCUGCACUCUGCUGAAGAACCUUUUCCUAACACCCACCUGGCCCUCCCCUGACUCAUCUCCAUGUCAGUCCCUCGGGUUCUGGGCCUGAUGCACCCCAGGAUAUGGUUGGCCCUUCUGGCUGUUAAGGUACACUGCUGAUUCAUUUUCAAGUUGCCAGUGCUCUAUACAUAUAGCCAGAGUUGCCCCGUUAUGGGUACAGAAUGUAGCAUGCAUUCCUGUUACGGUUUUAUGUAUGUAUAUGUUUAUAUAUGGGAACCAUACUGGAACAAUGUCUUACUCAGAAACAGCUGAUAACUUAUUCCCAGUAAUGCUCUGGGAGGGCUGAUACCAGUCAUCACAGGUAGGAAAUAGAAGCAUUAUGUGGAAAUACUGUGAAAAACUGAAACAGUGAUAACCACCUACCUUCAGUGUGCAGUCUGCAUGUGCAUAUUGUUUGAUCUUUGUUCCUUGCUACUUGAUAAUGAGCUGAAACUACCAAUUUCCUGCAAAGUGAUGCUUUUGCUAGCAUUGUCACCAUUCUUCCUCUAAAUAACUGAUUCAUCUCAGUAGAAAGUUAGAAUUUAACUUUUUAUUUAGUUAUGCAAACUGUUCACAGAUGUCAGUUUAGACAAAAUUAUUUAUAUUAUACCCUAGGUUACAGUACUUUCUCUUCUGAAUAAACAGAUUUUAGAGAAAGACAGGCUUCAAAUCAGACUUGCAUUUCAAAUGAAAAUUUGUUUCUUUUUUAUUAACAUUUGGUGCAUUACUAAAGUCAGUUUCCAAAGACAGCAUAAUUCUGCCAAUAUACCGUUUCUGAAGGAAAAUUCUGUUUCAGCCUGUGCAUGCCUUCAGAUAUCCUGAAAUUAUCUGUCAUUUGGUUGUGUUUUUACUAUGGUAGAGCUGAAAUAUACUAAGCAUCAUGUUCACGAAGUGUACUGCAAGUUAAAGCAUACAAACUAACAGUAAAAGAGUUUAAGGAUUCUAAGAAUAGCCGUGCGGUGCAGCCUCUUUAAAAUACAAUACUUUCUAAAAACUGUUAUUUGCUUUUGUGAUUACAGAGAUACAGACUGUAUCUCUGAAGGAGAGGAUUUCAAAAGAAAUGUGAAAAUAUUUUGUGUGUUUUCACUUGUUUCUACUUUCACCUUCUAUAAUUCAGUUAAAAUUUCAUUUAGUUCAAAGCAGUUGGUGUGACAGAGUACUCCUGAAUAUCAUAUUCUUGACAUAAUGAGUUCAGUCCUAUAGGUAAUUAGAGGUAGUUGAAACAAAAUUAAGAACUAGAGAGGGGAGGGGAGGGAAAGUCAGGGAAGGACAAUGCCAUUGCUCAUCACUCUGAUGCAGACUCAUGCCCAUCCAGUCCCCCAGCAGCAGCAUUUCCUUUAGCUGACAUCCCCCACUUCCACUGCUUAGCAUGAUGUCCUAUGGCAUAUGAUAUCCCUCUGGUACAUUUGAAUCAGCUGUCCUGGUUCCGACCCCUCUCAGCUCAUUGUGCACCCCUAGCCUCCUUGCUGACAGGGCAGCUUGCUGACAAGGAGCAGACAAGCCCAUGACACUAUGUAAGCACAGCUCUGUAACAGCUAAAACAUUGGUGUGUUGUCAGCCUUUUUUUCAUCCUAAGUCCAAAACACAGCACAAUAGUGCUGACAAUGAAGAAAAUUCAGUCUAUCUCAAACAAAACCAGGAAAAAUGAUUUCACGAAAAUUAUAUUUUCAAACUGAGCAGGGCAAGUCUGCAGUUACCACUGUGCUAAUGAAAUUAUAAACUGUGGUAUGGCAUCAUGCAUGCAUUUAGGAUUAUUGAAGCAUUAGCAUGAUCAUGUAUCCAUAAUUGACCUCUUUUGUUAUUUAUGUUGGUCCUUGUUCACUUCCAGAAUUAUCUUACAUGUCUUUUGAUCUUUUAAACCUCAGAAAUUAGGACCUUGUCUCCAGUUCCAUACCUUUGCUGAAUUUCUGAUGACUAGUGUCUCAGAAGUUGGUUUUAGAAUUCUGAUUCCACCUCCUGUUUCUCCUAAUACUCCUAAUACUGCACUACGUUUGACUUUCAGUUUCCAAAAGCAGGUGUUCCAUAUAUCAACGAGACUUAGGUCCAAAUCUUUCUUAUACUUCUAAUUUGUGUGUGUGUGUGUGUGUGUGUGUGUAAUUCUUUGUUUGCAUGCAAGUGUAAAAUUUCUAUACAGCAUAACAAUUCAGAACAUAAUAAAUCACUCAGAAUUCAUUUAUGUAUCAUACAUACACUCUGCUACAUCAUAAUAUAUGUUUCUGGUAGAUCACUCUGAAAAUCUUCAGUAAGUCUUAUCAUCUAUAAAACAAAAUUGUAUUAUAUUUUGUCCCAAUUAUUUGUUUCAUUUUGUCAAAACUCAAAAGAUACUCUAAACAUAGCAACAUAGACUUUGCUUUGAAUCUGAAUAGUAGAUCUUUUAAGUGUAAUGGCUCAUUUUCUAUCUGUCCCAAAGGAAACAGGAGAGGUUUAUUAAAAUAUAUUUGUCGGUUUUUAUAAAACCAGAAGAUGGCAGCAAGAGUUGUCUAGAAUUUUGUAUCACUAAACCACUUCACACCUUCAGAGCAAAUCAAUAUCCUUUGUAAUGCAAGCAUUUGCUUUGAAUGUGGUACAUAACAGAAAAGAGUAAUUUACAUUUGCAUCAGUAUCACUAUUCUUACAAGAGGAAGUAAGAAGGCUAAUCCAUUUCAAACAGUUUAAUCCAUUUGAAAAGACUAAUGCUGUGAGAGGUUGCCAGUGUGCAUGUGCCAAACAAAUAAUGCAAUGAUUUGGCUAAUAGGUUCCCUGAUAAUACAAAACCACCAGUAUAACAAUUAGGUGUGCUUUUCGGGGUGGGGGGUGGUUAUUUUUGGGUUGUCUCACCGCCACCUCUGAAGAUUUCCACAGCACAUGUUUGGAAAUCAGAUUAGAUUUCUGAAUAUAGUUUAACAGUAGUUAAAAGUAUUAAUGGGGACAGGGACUUUUAUGUUGGGAGUUCCCAGUGAGGGUGGUACUGCCAUGGAAGUUAGUGGGAGUACCUAAUACUGAGGUCUGAUUGUCCUCAUUGCACCAGACUGUUUCUAAUUCUACAAACUAGAUUGCAAUCCAGUUUAAGACUUGAACAACUGACAGUCAAGUAGUCACAGGAGCAAUGUUGCAUUGGUUGGAGUAAAGUUUUUAAGAAAUGAGACAAGACAGACAUGUAAGACAAGACAGAGUACAAAAUUAAUACUUUGAAAAGUGCGGUUUUGAGAUGUCUUAAAUUUCAUAAAACUGGUCAGCAAAGAAAAUUAAUUGUUAUGCUUAAAUUUCCAAUGGUCAUUGAAUAUUAUUAAAAACUGAAUAUAAAUGGUUUCCAAAAUUGCGUUUAAUUUAGGAAAUCUCACAGCAUUUUUAUGCAAUUGAACCAAAAUUCUAAUAAUCAUUCUGAAUCAGAAGCACGUUAGGUAGAAAUCAGAGUUUAGUCAAGGACACAGUUUUUCUGCUAAACUUACUGGUUGGUUUAAUUGACUGCUUCUUUGGUGAAUUCCACAAGAAAAUUCACUAGAUUCCUAUUAUUAUGAACAGACUAUAGUAUUAAUUUUAGAACAAAGUAAUUACUUCAAAUAAAUAUGCAGAUUGAAGAAAAUAUUGUUCUUUACCUUUUAAUGCACAUUGUACCUCAUUUUCCAAGUCUACCUGAAAUGGUAAGUGGAGAAGGGUAACAGAGAGUAAUUAACACUCUGUUCCAAUUUCACUUUCAGAGCUGCUACAGAAGACAUCCAUUUCCAGUAGUUUGUGGGUGCUGUCAAACAUAAAUUACCAUUUAGUACUUUGUUGACUAACUCAGCUUCUUUGAGAAGUGAAGCUUUUAUCUACCAUGAUAGGUACACAAAAUGCACUCCCUUACUUGAGAUACUUUGUAGUGCUGCUGUUCAAACAGCAGGAGAAACCUGAGCUUCGUAAUUGAGAAUGAAUGUCAAGUAUUGUCAAGACCCCUCUGUUCAUAAAGCUGAUAAUACUUUGUGUGAUUACAUUUGUCUCUUUACAGCUGAUAAGGUCUCCCUCUUUACUAUCAAUUGACAGAAGAACAUUUAUUGUUCAAUUGCUGGCACAACUACACUUAAGAGUUGUAGCAUUUGCUCUUGAGGAUGAGCAGCUCUUAGCAAUAAUUGAAUUGAUUUUGAAGAAAUAUUAUUUUUAUUAGGAAAAAAAAAGUAAUAAAUGCAAAUCAUUGAAGCAUGAGAACAUUUGGAUUCCUUUCUUUAAUAUAUGAGUGGUGAAUUUUCAUUUCUAAUAAAGCUUCUCACUCUUUUUCUUCUAUUUACUAGUUUACCCGAUCUGUCAUUAUCGUUGGUACUUUCUUAAAUAUUUUUCUUAAUCGCACUCUAAUUUCUUUGUAAGCAGUGGAAAGUAGAUACUCUUGAGAUUGAUUGACUGCUAUAAAUUUCUCUCUGAACAGCUUAACUGGUAGAGAGAUAAUAAUAAUAUAAACAUAUAAACAGCAAAUCAUAUAACCAGUAAACUGGUUUUAAGAAUUUUAACAGCCUGAGAAAGCUCUUCUUUUGAAUUUUUAAAAAAUUAUUAUUAUCAGACAUGCAUGUCAGUUGCUUUGUCUGACCAACAACGUUUUUGCCUCUUGCAGAGCUGCUGUAAGAUACUGUAAAAAAUCUACAUCUUCAUGUAGUCUACAAAAGUACCAUGAAUCUAGAAAGUCCCUUCUGCGAAUAUUAAAACACUUUUGGAUUUUCCCAGUGCUGAAUCUAUCACAGGAAGGAGGUAGAGUUUAGAAUAUGUAUACAAAUACAUUAUUAUCUUCUGCUUUUUUGUUGGCCUGAGGAAAUCUCAGGUUUGCAUCACAAAGCGCUUUAAAACCUGGGGGUUAGGUUUGCCAUCUCUUUAUAAUAACAUACUUCUUCAUUUUAAAUACAUUUCAAUUGCCCACAUCUCAAUAAUGCUCCACUGUAAUCUAGGAAAGAAUUACACUUAGCAUACCCAAAUGGGUGCCUCCACACAGGGACACCCUUCUCCAGCUACAUCCUGUACAGUCUGUUUUUUCAUUCCCAUUUCUUUUAUCUCUUCUUCAAGUAUCUUACUGGAGCUGUAUUCUCCCAGGAUGCUAUUAAAUACUCAAGCAGGGUUCAAGAGCACAAGUGGAGUUAUGUCUUAUAAGUCCUUUAAGCUAUCUCUAGCUUCAGUGUGUCUUUCUUCAUCCAGACUGGAUAAACUGUGUAUCCAAACUGGAUAAAAUACAUGGCAUAUUAACUGCAGCAAUUAAUCUCAGGUAGAUGUGAGACUCUUAUAAACAUAAUGUAUUUUGAAACAAAAUACAUUUGAACUUAAUGUUUUGUUCAGUAUCUUGUAUUUUUAAAGUGGAAGUAAUCAAUCAUUAUUUUUGGAGAAGGAUCACAGUACAGUCAAACUAUUGAGUUACAUCAGAAGAUAUGUUAUGCUAAUGGAAAAUUCAUAAGGCAAACACCUUGACUUCUCGGCUAAUCCUUUUUAUUUUGAGCACUCCCAGUUUUCAGUCUUUUUCUGUAUUUCCCUUCAUUCCUGGCAGUUGCUAAGCCAAAGAACUUUGUUUUUGUUUUGUAUUCAAAAACAAAUUCUGGUUAACCAAAUUUUCAGAAAUUGCUACUGAAAUACAUUCAGUCACAUGACUUAAGAAAGUGUUCUUCUGCAGCUGUUAAACUUUAUAGACUGGUUUGAAAUGAUAAACUUGUAAAAAAUCUAGCAUGGAUAGAAGUACACAUAAUACUCCUUCAUUUUUCCAAGUUUUCUAUAGUUUACUAUGCAUUAUGAUGUGAGAGGAGGGGAAAAGAAAACUAGUCUUUAUUUUGCUUUGAAUUGCAGUCUUCAGUGUGAUGUACAUUUCGGUGCAGCUAUUUGGCUGAUAGAAUGUGUGUAGUUUCAACUAUUUUAAUGUACCUCUCAUGACAUUUCACCAGGAACCAAAUUACACCUUGUUCUGGCAGUAGACAAAACAGCCAGACAUGACAAGUGGGGAGAGGCAUGGUCAUCGUCCGACACAAAUCUUGCCUAAGUAUUAGUGACAAAUAUGUUAGUUAAAAAGAAAUGUGGGUUAGUAAAUCUUUUACUUUUCUUUUUCCUUUUCUUUUCCAAAACCACAGUUGCCAAUGGCUUGGCUGGAACUGCAGAAAUAAGAAAACUAAUAUUACACAUUCCUGUGAUUCCUUUUCAGUGAAAUGUAUCCUGGUCAUAUUUCAGGAUAUCAUGAUCUAAUACAGACUUCCGUUGAAUUUUCUGUAUAAUUAUCUUCUGGCCCAGGGAGAUAGUGGAGUCUCCUUCUAUGGAGAUAUUCAAGACACACCUGGAUGCCAACCUUUGAGACCUAUUGUAGGCUACCUGCUUCAGUGGUAGGGGCUGGACUUGAUGAUCUCUUGAGGUAGCUUCCAAACCUUGCAAUUCAAAGACAAUAAUAAUUUCAUAAAGAUAUAUAAAAUGGCUGUGCUGAAAGUAAUGCCUCCUAUUUUGUUUUGUUGACCCAUAAUGUCAGAGGUAGAUGUUGGUGAUGACACAGUAGAGGUUGACCCCUCCAGCUAAUAUUCCUUUACAUUUUGAUGCCAUGAGAAAGAUGGCAGCAGGGAGGCCCUGACAUUGAUAACAUUAAUUUUCCAUAUCUAUUUGAGCAACUUUCAACUUUUAUUGUAAAGUGAGGGACUGAGACAAAACUGAAGAAGACUUUAGUUGUUAAAAAUUGUUUGAGGCCCAUUGAGCAGGAACUAGGCUGCCGAAUAAUGCAGACAACAUAAUGAACUGGUGAUAAAUGAUCCCAAGUGGGCCCCUGCUGAGUGCCAGGAGAAUAUGUUUAUACAGUAGAUUUAUUAUCUUAACAUCUUUUUGCAGUGACCUCCAAUUUAGACAAAAUACCUGAAACAUUUAUAAUCUGUGUGGGUUUUUUUGUAACUAAUGGAAAAUUGCUUUGUUAUUUAUCUAGAGCAGCUGUGGGUAUUAUCAUGUGGAGAAUGUAGAAUUGGUUUGCUAAACUCUUCUGUCAGGUAGGUAAAAGUAAUUAAACCAGAUUUGGGGUGUGAAUCUCUGUCAAAUCUGUUAUUGGAUAAGUAAUUAAAGCUGCUUAUUUAUCUUUGGGGCAAUAAACCCAAUAACUUCUGCAAAGUUAGUGCUUUCUGGCUUUUUCUCCUUUUAAUAUUAAACCUUUCUCUGCAAAUGCUGUUACUACUAUUUGUUUCACAUCUGCAUUUAUCAUUUUCAUAAAGAAACACAAGUGAUUGUAAAGAGUUGCUUAAUGCAGAUCAUAAAGAUAUACAAAUAGAAUUAACAGGUGUUUCAAUGCUUGAAUGUGUUAAAUCAUUAGCUUUAUGAUAGCUGCUCGAAGGUUCCUACACCAGAGGCAGUGCAGAGGUAGAAGCUUCAUUUUCCACAGGUACAGUGUAAUUAACAUUCAAGAAAGCUCAAUUAUCUGUCCACUGCUCUAUUUCAUCUUGCUCCCUCAGAGGAUUUGUAGAUGUACACAACAUUCCUUACACAGAAAGUCCUCUUCAGUUCUCAGAAAGACGUCCUUUCCAGCAGUAGGACACUUGACACAAGUAAAUAAACGAAUAAAUAAAAUGAAUAAAUGUAAAAAUUGCAGUAGCAUCUUUUGCUAAGUAAUAGUUCAUCAUCAAAACUGCUGGACUUGAAUGUUUUCAGUGAGUUCAGGAAAAAAAUAUUCUUCUAGUUCUCUUGUAUGCCACAGUCACAUCUCUUCAAAUGUAUGAUAUUAGUUCUAUGAUUUUAGAUUUACAGAGAAAAUAUGUUGCAGAACAUUUUAUCUUUUAGCAAUAUGAUUUAACUUUAGUACUUUUAAUAUUUGAUUCUCUUUCCUAGGCUCAGAAAUAUGUACCAUAAUCAAAGGAUAUAUGUAAGACCCACAGUACCACUGUCUUUUUGCUAACAUAUUUUUCUGCUAGAGCUCCAAAAAGCAGCAGACAGCUGAGAUCCUGAACACAAGAAAGAUAUGGACAUACCAGUGUGAGCCCAACAAAGGGCCAUGAGGAUGGAGCACCUUUCCUACAAGGAGAGGCUGGGAAAACUGCGGCUGUUCAACAUGGAAAUCAGAAGGCUCAGGGGUUGUUAUCAGUGUGCAAAAAUACUCGAUGGGAGGGAAUGAAGAAGAGGGUUGUAGAUUCUUCUUAGGAAUGUCCACAGACAGGACAAGAGGUAGUGAUACCAGCUAUGAAAUUCCUUCUGAACGCAAGGAAUCAAUUUCUACUGUGUGGGUUGUCAACUCCGGCUCAGGUUUCAAUGGGACCUUAUGGAAUCUCUGUCUGGUGAGAUAACAAACCUGACGGGACACAGCCCUGGGCAACCUGCUAACAGCUGACCAUUUUUAAGCAGAUGGUGGACCUAAGGAAGUCCUUUCCCUCAGCUGAUCUGUGAAUCUAUUAUUCUGAAUAGUGUCUGGAAAAGGCAGGAGCAACACUCUUGGCCUGACUGAUAGGUAGUUUGUAUGUAUCCAUGUUAUUGUUUUCUGAAGAAGAAGCUUAGCCACUAAUUUAUCUGGGGAGUAACAACUGAGGUAUAUAUAAGGGUCUGGUCUGGUGAAAGAAAGGAAAGAGUGAAAGUAAAGGAUACAUUCUCAGUUCAUUUUUGUUUAUUCUGCACAUGGUCAUCACUGGUUUUUGCUAACAUGACACACAUUUCAGCAAAUUAAUGAUAUUCUGCAAGUUCACAUGAACCCGUACAUACUGAACAAUUAAUGAAUUUUAGUACUGAAAUGAGAUAGUGUUAUUUUGUGCAGCACUUAACAUGUAUUCAUAAAUAAUCAUGCAUACAAACAUAUUAAGUCACUUAAAACUGUAAUCAGUAAUUUUCAAGUCCUGGCAACCAGCAGAUUUCAAUUGGAAUAUACCAUUUGGCCUACUUGGCCUUAAUAAAAUUUUCAAAGAAGGGGCAGCAUGUGCUUUUUAAUCUAUUUCUUGAUGUCUAGUAGUAAGUAAAUGAACACGAGUUUGGUGGGUAUGACAAAUUAAUAUGCACACUGACAACUUAUAAACACAGUAUUGCUUAGGGAAUUACUAUAUGAAUAUACACAAGCAAUUACAUGUUUUAAAUGAUUUAUUUCAUUUUCUGAAUAAUAUACCACUGAAGUGGAAACUGAUAAAAAGGAGAAUACAAAUAAAAAUAUUAUAUCAACUUUUUACUGAACUUAUUAAAUGGAGGCCCUCUUAAUGAGGAAAUUAAUGAAUGAAGCAGCUCAUUAUGGAUAGGCAUUCCUUGUGGUCGUUAAGAAUUUGUCACCAUAGACCCGUCAUAGUCAGUUUAAUUAUGAUUAAUGUCUUAUCUUGAAUUCCAUCUCCAUUCAUGUCUGAGGAAUAAAUGCAAAACCUAUUAUAUGAUCAAAGUUCAUAAAAGAGGGUAAGCUGCUGAUGGCCUAAUAUUUUAUUCAUCUUCACAUUCAUAUUUAUCAUUUUUACGAGAAUGAAAGGCAAUAUUACAAUAUUUUUGAAAUUUCGUUAAGUACAUAAAACCUCUUGUUCUUCCCAGAACCAGGAUCUUGUGUUCAACACGAAACAUCUUAACAGCUUUUUCAGAUGCAGAUGCCACUGUUUGAUGUCAGUUUGAAUAAAGAGAAAGAUUAUUUUUGUCUCUAAACUUUACUGUAGGACUUGCUAUGCUGCAUAAUUUAAAACAUUUUUUAUUUGGUCAAGACUCUCAUAAACACCAGUGCAAAUUGUACACGAGCUGCAAUCAAUGUUUAGAUUGUUACUUGUGUUGUUUUUAAUCUGCAUAUGUACAUGGAGUGAAUGUAGGGAGUAUGUUUUAAUUAAUUUAUAUUUCCAAAGGCCUGUCAGUCAUCAAUAGUCCAUACUUCCCAUUAUUUGAUGCUCUAUUUGAUCUGUUAAAUCUUGUCCACACUAAUAGCUUAGUCUGAAAUAGUACAACUGUGUCUGGCUGUGUUAUAUUGGUUACAUUAAUAUUAUGAAUUCAGUCCUUUAUUUUCUUAAUGACACACGCAUCAGACUUUCAGUCUGUAUUUCCUCUCCAAUUUUUUGAGUACCUAGACUAAUUUCAGAAAAAUCUUUGUUUUGGUAUAGAAUCAGAGGUGUCAGAAGUAAGAAAUCUGAGUGAACUACUGAGAUUCAGAUUAGGUGGGGGUAUGGGGACUAAAGGGUGGAAAUUUACUGUGUUAUAGAAUUAGCAUUUCCAGUGUUCACAGAUAACUUUAUCUUACUGAAUUACAAAAGUAAUUAUUUUGCUAUUUCUAAGAAAAAGACCAGGGCAAAAUAUGAUAUUUCUUAAACAAUUUAAUAUGAACUUUGUUAUAGGAGGCAUAUUUCUUGACUAAAGCUUCCAAAAAUGCCAAUUCUGUAAUAUGGUAGUGUACUUUUUUUUUUUUUUUUUUACUUAUUAUUUUAUUUAUUUUCUUUCACUGCACUGCACUUAGUUCCAGAAAUUAAUCAGUGCUCUAUAGCCUGGGCAGGGUAGACUCCAUCCUCUCUAGCUGCAGAAGUCAGACAGGAGUUAGGCAGAUCUUUGGGAGCAGAGGGCAAGGUUGCUAAGUGAGAAAAUGAAGUUUUCAGAGAAUAGGACUAUAUUCCAUUUUGUUCUUUUUUUCUGGAGCCUCUGAGGUGUUGCUGAGCUAAACCACAAAACCAGCGUUAUCACCUGUGGCCAUUCUUUAAUGGUUCCUGAUACUGUAAGUACUUCAAUUUAAAUUUGCAUCAAAAGAGAACACAUGGGAUAUUUUGGAAACAAUAACAGAUUUCUCAUCUAAUUCUCAUCCAUUCUAGCAUAAGCUAGCAGUUGUACAAACAGAAAAUUGCAGUCUUUUAGGCCCCUUGAAAGAGCCAGACUCUAUUUGUAAGCAAAAGUAAACGUGUAACUUCAUUUUCUUGUAAUUGCUAAACACUCUUAAAAAUUGUUACUGAAAUUCGAAUAAUGAAUGAAUGGAGUCUUAUCAGAUCAUUCACUUUAACAUUAAUGACCUUUUGAAGUAAGUAACUUUAAAAGUUGCGUUAUUUACCUAAUUGAACUGCUUUACCUUAAUUUGUUUCUACUGGGUGAAUGUAAGCUUUAGUUACAAACUUUUUGCUGUUCUCGAUGGUAUUUAAAGUCGUCUUUGACAACACCAAAACAUUAUGAGUUCUAUUCAACUAGAACGAAAUGUGUAUGAGUCAAGGAAGGAAAAAAAAAAAAAAAAAAAAA